CCUAAAUACUACCCAGUGACCGAUAGCGUAUAGUACUGUGAAGGAAAGGUGAAAAGGACCCCGGGAGGGGAGUGAAAUAGAACCUGAAACCUUGUGCCUACAAGCACAUAGAGCACAUCAACGUGUGAUAUGGUACUUUUUGUAGAACGGUCCGGCGAGCGAUUGUAUGUUGCGAGCUUAAGGUCUUAAGGACUGGAGGCGUAGCGAGAGCGAGUCUGAAUAGGGCGUUCAGUAACAUGCAAUGGGCCCGAAACCGGGUGACCUACCCAUGAUCAGGCUGAAGUGAAAGUAAAAUUUCAUGGAGGGCCGAACCGACCUCCGUUGAAAAGGCGGCGGAUGAAUUGUGGGUAGCGGAGAAAUUCCAAUCGAACUCGGAGAUAGCUGGUUCUCCCCGAAAUAGCUUUAGGGCUAGCCUCAUAUUAGAUACCCGGAGGUAAAGCACUGAAUGGCCUAGCGCCCGAGAGGGUAGCGAAGCCUAUCAAACUAAGAAUGCCGGAGUAUUGAUGUAUGGGAGUCAGACAGUGUGAGAUAAAUCUCAUUGUCAAAAGGGAAACAGCCCAGAUCUACAGCUAAGGUCCCAAAUUGUAUCUAAGUGGAAAACGAUGUGGAAAUACGCAGACAACCAGGAUGUUGGCUCAGAAGCAGCCACUCAUUUAAAGAGUGCGUAAUAGCUCACUGGUCGAGCGUCUCUGCGCGGAAAAUUUAACGGGGCUAAGAUACAAACCGAAGCUUAGGCUGCAUCGUAAGAUGCGGGGUAGGGGAGCGUUGUGUAAGCGGAGAAACAGUAGCGUAAGCGGCUGUGGAGUUUACAGAAGUGAGAAUGCCGGAAUGAGUAGCGCGAAUGUGGUGAGAAUCCACAUGGCCGGAAACCUCAGGUUUUUGGAGGAAGGUUCGUCCGCUCCAAGUUAGGCGGGAGCUAAGGUCAGGCCGAAAGGCGUAGCCGAUGCACAGACGGUAGAGAUUCCGUCCCCACCGAAAGAUUUAAGCACAGGGACACUUUUUGAAGGUCGGAGCCAGGUGUUGGUUCUGGUAGUGAUCGAGGGAAAUAUAGUACCGAAGUCCGGCUGGAGAAGAGGCGAGAAAAGCUGUGUGUAUAUCUAAGGUGCCCGUACCGCAAACCGACACAGGUAGGUAGGAAGAAGAUUCUAAGGCCAACGGGAGAAGGGUUGUUAAGGAACUCGGCAAGUUGACCCCGUAACUUCGGAAUAAGGGGUGCUCACGAGAGUGAGCCGCAGAGAAUAGGCCCAGGCAACUGUUUACCAAAAACACAGGUUUGUGCUAAAUCGAAAGAUGACGUAUACGAGCUGACGCCUGCCCGGUGCUGGAAGGUUAAAAGGAGAUGUGCAAGCAUUGAAUUGAAGCCCCAGUGAACGGCGGCCGUAACUAUAACGGUCCUAAGGUAGCGAAAUUCCUUGUCAGGUAAGUUCUGACCCGCACGAAAGGCGUAAUGAUUUGGGCACUGUCUCAACAGCCCGCCCGGCGAAAUUGUAGUACCGGUGAAGAUGCCGGUUACCCGCGACAAGACGGAAAGACCCCAUGGAGCUUUACUGUAGCCUGAUAUUGGGUUUCGGUGUUGCAUGCACAGGAUAGAUGGGACGCUGGGAAAGAAGCGCUUUGGCGUUUCUGGAGCGGACGUUGGGAUACCAUCCUUGCGACAUUGGAAUUCUAACCUGCGCCUCUGAAUCGAGGCGGGGGACAUUGUCAGGUGGGCAGUUUGACUGGGGCGGUCGCCUCCUAAAAAGUAGCGGAGGCGUUCAAAGGUUCGUUCGAUCUGGACGGAAACCAGAUGAUUGAGUGCAAACGCAUAAACGAGCCUGACUGCGAGACUGACGGGUCGAGCAGAGACGAAAGUCGGAGUUAGUGAUCCGGUGGUAUGUGAGUGGAAAUGCCAUCGCUCAACGGAUAAAAGUUACCCUGGGGAUAACAGGCUGAUCUCCCCCAAGAGUCCACAUCGACGGGGAGGUUUGGCACCUCGAUGUCGGCUCAUCGCAUCCUGGAGCUGUAGUCGGUUCCAAGGGUUGGGCUGUUCGCCCAUUAAAGCGGUACGCGAGCUGGGUUCAGAACGUCGUGAGACAGUUCGGUCCCUAUCUGUCGUG
rnacentral:rRNA from 1 species